rnacentral:lncRNA from 1 species
GUCCUGAGCGCGCGCGGCAGGUUUGCUGCCUCCCGCCUUCCCCUCUCCUGGCCGUUAGCGGGUUACAGCCCUCGGGGGGCGGGGUGUAACCUGCGAGCAGUGAGCUGAGGAGGCCGCCCGGGGCCCUGCGGUGGGUGCUAAAAGCUGGCCCGGCUUCCACCUGUGCCCGAAGUGAGUCUGUGGCAACCAAAGCCUCCUACGCUGUGCAGGUGCCACCCUUGGCUCCGAAAGUCGUGUUGUUAGAAGUGAGGAAAGCAGCGUCGUGGUUUGUGUCCUGUUCUUAUGCUCCUCUUCAGGAAGGAAGGAACAAAUGCAGAAAAGUUACAGGAUAUUAACUGCACUUGAAGCGUAGGUAAAACCCUGAGACAGGAAUUCAAGAGUGAGCAAAAUUGUUACUGCAUCCUCUUGGCUCCCUUCCCUUCUCCAAAGAAAAUCCCACAAAACUUGUGAGAAGAAGAAUUAGCAAGAAGUAGAGUGAGAGAGUAGAAAAAGCUGUUAUGCUUUUCAAAACUUUCCUGUCUCUGGAAAAGUUAAAGAACAGAAAGAAGCAAAACACAACUCUGUCAGGGUCCCAAAAACUGGAGGGUCUCAAAAGCCAUUCAGCUGCACGUCCCAGUUCCACUGAUCCCAAAUAAUUGUCCAGAUAAUUGAACUGGAAGUGGUUCGUGUUCCUAUUCAUAACUGCUGGACCCAAAGAAAACAGUAAGUAAUAAAAAAGGACUGUGGAUAUUGUCCA